rnacentral:rRNA from 1 species
GUGUCAGCCGCCGCGGUAAGACAGGGGGCCCAAGCGUUAAUCGGAAUCACUGGGCUUAAAGGGUGCGCAGGCGGACCAGAAAGUGUUUUGUGAAAGCCCCCGGCUCAACCGGGGAAUUGCAGGGCAAACUCCUGGUCUUGAGGCAGGUAGGGGCAGACGGAACUGUCGGUGGAGCGGUGAAAUGCAUAGAUAUCGACAGGAACGCCAAUGGCGAAGGCAGUCUGCUGGGCCUGUCCUGACGCUCAGGCACGAAAGCGUGGGGAGCAAACAGGAUUAGAUACCCGCGUAGUCC